GACGAACGCUGGCGGCGUGCUUAACACAUGCAAGUCGAACGGAAAGGCCCUGCUUUUGUGGGGUGCUCGAGUGGCGAACGGGUGAGUAACACGUGAGUAACCUGCCCUUGACUUUGGGAUAACUUCAGGAAACUGGGGCUAAUACCGGAUAGGAGCUCCUGCUGCAUGGUGGGGGUUGGAAAGUUUCGGCGGUUGGGGAUGGACUCGCGGCUUAUCAGCUUGUUGGUGGGGUAGUGGCUUACCAAGGCUUUGACGGGUAGCCGGCCUGAGAGGGUGACCGGCCACAUUGGGACUGAGAAACGGCCCCAACUCCUACGGGAGGAAGCAGUGCGGAAUAUUGCACAAUGGGCGGAAGCCUGAUGCAGCACCGCCGCGUGCGGGAUAACGGCCUUCGGGUUGUAAACCGCUUUCGCCUGUGACGAAGCGUGAGUGACGGUAAUGGGUAAAGAAGCACCGGCUAACUACGUG
rnacentral:rRNA from 1 species